rnacentral:rRNA from 1 species
AUGAGCCCGCACGUUGACUACUCUGAAUCCAUCCUAAAUCGUUGUAGACCACAGUGUUCACUUGAGCUACCUGUUGAUAAGCCUCGCUCCCUGUUGUGUUCAGUUCGACCGACCUUCAGAGGACCUGAACUUGAAUACCGCCGAAAAGAACCAGAUGCAUCCAGGGUAUCAUAA